rnacentral:rRNA from 1 species
GGAAGUAAAAGUCGUAACAAGGUUUCCGUAGGUGAACCUGCGGAAGGAUCAUUAUCGUAUGAUGGGGGGUGCUGGGGUUGUCGCUGACUUUUGAAAGGGUCGUGCACGCCUCGGUGCUCUCACACAUAUAAUCCAUCUCACCCCUUUUGUGCAUCACCGCGUGGGGACCCCUUUUGGCUAGUUCUGAGGGGGGUUUUCACGUUUUUACAAAGACACCCUUUUUAAUGCAAUGUGUAGAAUGUCUUACUUUUUGCGAUCAUACGCAAUCAAUACAACUUUCAACAACGGAUCUCUUGGCUCUCGCAUCGAUGAAGAACGCAGCGAAAUGCGAUACGUAAUGUGAAUUGCAGAAUUCAGUGAAUCAUCGAAUCUUUGAACGCACCUUGCGCCCCUUGGCAUUCCGAGGGGCACACCCGUUUGAGCGUCGUGACAUCCUCAAACCUUCUUGGUUUCUUGACCAGGAAGGCUUUGGACCUUGGAGGUUUUUUUGCUGGCUUUCCUUUGUUGGAGCCAGCUCCUCUGAAAUGAAUUAGUGGGGUCUGCUUUGCCGAUCCUUGACGUGAUAAGAUAUUUUCUACGUCUUGGGUUUUGCACUCCUGCUUCUAACCGUCUCACAGAAGACAAACGGUCAAGUGAUCGCCACUUUGACCCAUGAACCUUGACCUCAAAUCGGGUGAGACUACCCGCUGAACUUAAGCAUAUNNNNNAGCGGAGGAAAAGAAACUAACAAGGAUUCCCCUAGUAACUGCGAGUGAAGCGGGAAAAGCUCAAAUUUAAAAUCUGGUGGUCUUUGGCCAUCCGAGUUGUAAUUUAGAGAAGCGUCUUCCGCGCUGGACCAUGCACAAGUCUCCUGGAAUGGAGCGUCAUAGAGGGUGAGAAUCCCGUCUUUGGCAUGGAUGCACCAGGGCUUCUGUGAUGCGCUCUCAAAGAGUCGAGUUGUUUGGGAAUGCAGCUCAAAAUGGGUGGUGAACUCCAUCUAAAGCUAAAUAUUGGCGAGAGACCGAUAGCGAACAAGUACCGUGAGGGAAAGAUGAAAAGCACUUUGGAAAGAGAGUGAAACAGUACGUGAAAUUGUUGAAAGGGAAACGCUUGAAGUCAGUCGCGUCGACCGAGACUCAGCCUUGCCUUGGCUUGGUGUACUUCUCGGCCCGACGGGUCAGCAUCAAUUUUGAUCCUUGGAUAAUGGCAAGGGAAAGGUGGCACCUUUACAGGUGUGUUAUAGUCCUCUGUCGGAUGCAAGGGUCGGGAUUGAGGAACUCAGCAUGCACCUCAUCGGUGUCGGGGCCUCGGCCUACGUUACGUGCUUAGGAUGCUGGCAUAAUGGCUUUAAACGACCCGUCUUGAAACACGGACCAAGGAGUCUAACAUGCACGCGAGUGUUCGGGUGGAAAACCCGUGCGCGUAAUGAAAGUAAAAGUUGGGACCUCUGUCGUGGAGGGCACCGACGCCCGGACCAGACCUUCUGUGACGGCUCUGCGGUAGAGCGUGUAUGUUGGGACCCGAAAGAUGGUGAACUAUGCCUGAAUAGGGUGAAGCCAGAGGAAACUCUGGUGGAGGCUCGUAGCGAUUCUGACGUGCAAAUCGAUCGUCAAAUUUGGGUAUAGGRGCGAAAGACUAAUCGAACCAUCUAGUAGCUGUCC